GUGAAUCAUCGAAUUUUUGAACGCAUAUUGCACUCUCUGGUAUUCCGGAGAGUAUUCCUGUUUGAGGGUAAUUAAUAAGCUUAUUUUACCAAUUUUUUUUUGGUUAUAGGCAAUGAGUUCUCCGCGUUUAUAGCGGUAGCUUGAAAUAAAUGGUCAAGUCGCAUUUUAGUCGCGACGCGUAAUAAUAUUAUUUUGCGAAAUCUUCAUUAUGUGACUAUCAAGUUUUGUUGCAUACAAAUAUGGUUUGUACGCGAUAAAUACAAAUA
rnacentral:misc_RNA from 1 species